rnacentral:lncRNA from 1 species
GAAUCCGAGCCAACUGCUCCUAUUCAUCACAACGCGCAAACGCUUUCUCGUAAUUCCAUCUGACCAACUCAAGCCUGAGCAUCACUCCUAGAGAACCAGCUGCCCUGAAAAUAAGGGCAAAGCUAACGCUCGCUCGAGCGUUUCUUUGAGCUUGAGCACUCGAUUUUUUUCACUCCCCUAUCCGGCUGCUCCCCUGUGCCAAAGUGCUUCUUCUUCGAUUCCGGCAGAUCUCCGA